rnacentral:rRNA from 1 species
AGUAAUGCCUAGGAAUCUGCCUGGUAGUGGGGGACGAACGUUUCGAAAGGAACGCUAAUACCGCAUACGUCCUACGGGAGAAAGCAGGGACCUUCGGGCCUUGCGCUAUCAGAUGAGCCUAGGUCGGAUUAGCUAGUUGGUGAGGUAAUGGCUCACCAAGGCGACGAUCCGUAACUGGUCUGAGAGGAUGAUCAGUCACACUGGAACUGAGACACGGUCCAGACUCCUACGGGAGGCAGCAG